GAUGAACGCUGGCGGCGUGCCUAAUACAUGCAAGUCGAGCGAACAGACGAGGAGCUUGCUCCUCUGAUGUUAGCGGCGGACGGGUGAGUAACACGUGGAUAACCUACCUAUAAGACUGGGAUAACUUCGGGAAACCGGAGCUAAUACCGGAUAAUAUAUUGAACCGCAUGGUUCAAUAGUGAAAGACGGUUUUGCUGUCACUUAUAGAUGGAUCCGCGCCGCAUUAGCUAGUUGGUAAGGUAACGGCUUACCAAGGCAACGAUGCGUAGCCGACCUGAGAGGGUGAUCGGCCACACUGGAACUGAGACACGGUCCAGACUCCUACGGGAGGCAGCAGUAGGGAAUCUUCCGCAAUGGGCGAAAGCCUGACGGAGCAACGCCGCGUGAGUGAUGAAGGUCUUCGGAUCGUAAAACUCUGUUAUUAGGGAAGAACAAAUGUGUAAGUAACUAUGCACGUCUUGACGGUACCUAAUCAGAAAGCCACGGCUAACUACGUG
rnacentral:rRNA from 1 species